AUGUCUAUAAUCACUCCUACUACAUUACAUACAGUCAAUGAGCUCAUUGAUGAAGAAAAUUGGACAUGGAAGACGGAUCUUGUUCGACAAAACUUUCUUGCUCCGGAUGCAGAAGCUAUAUUAAACAUACCAUUGCGCACCGGAGGUGGGCAGGAUUUCUUUGCUUGGGCUUUUGAAAACUCGGUUGUCUACACUGUCAAACCGGCGUACCGUGCUCUCGUGAAUCAGAAAGAGCGCCAUGCUCUAGAGGAAGGGACGGUUACUGGUGCCUCAAAAUCAGAACAGCAGAUGUGGACAUCUCUAUGGAAGCUCAAAGUGGUGCCUAAGGUCAGAGUCUUCUGGUGGAGAGUUCUUCGCGGGAUCCUCCCUGAUGAAGCAACCCUUAAGCACAAACAUAUCAAACCUCUUAGUCUAUGCAAUGUUUGGCUAAAGAGGAAGAUCUUAUGCAUGCAUUGGUGUCUUGCUCCCAUGCACACAGAUUUUGGGAUGAAGCGCAAACCUGGUUCGGCUUUCGACUCCCGCGCUUGCACCCUGCCACCUGGGCGCGCGACAUCCUAUGUGAUGAUCGUUUCUUGGAUCAUGUGA
rnacentral:rRNA from 1 species